AAGAGUGAACUAGCUAACUGGAAUCACAGGUGUGUCAUCUGUGAUAACGUAAAGGAAAAUAAUGAUACGCCUUUACUAUUAGUGUUGUCCAAAUCUGGUGCCAGAAGACUCGGUAAUGCCAGAGACGCGAGCGUUAGUCAUCUUGAUCAGGCGUAAAGGGUUUGUAGGCGGCUUUAAAGAAAGUAAUUAAAGCUAGAAUCUGAUAGAGGUCACUUUAAGAGAAUACUUAGAGUAGGGUUGACAUCUUCACAUACUAAGUAGAAUCUAAUAGCGAAGGCUCUUUUCCAAAUAAAGAUUGACGCUGAGACACGAAGGGGAGGAAAGACAAUAGGAUUAGAUACCCUGGCAUCCCUCCCUGUCAACGAUGAAUGGUGGUUGUUAGUUUUAAGCUAGUGGCGAGGUUAACACGUUAACCAUUCCGCCUUGUGAGUACAAUUGCAAAAUUGAAAACAAAAAAAUUAGUCGGUUUCGGAGCAAACGAAGUGAAGCAUGUUAUUUAAUU
rnacentral:rRNA from 1 species